rnacentral:tRNA from 1 species
AGUACUGAAUGUAUAAUGGUUAGCAUAGAUGCCUUCCAAGCAGUUGACCCGGGUUAGAUUCCCGGCAGUCGCUU